GAAAUGCGAUAAGUAAUGUGAAUUGCAGAAUUCAGUGAAUCAUCGAAUCUUUGGACGCACCUUGCGCUCCUUGGUAUUCCUUGGAGCAUGCCUGUUUGAGUAUCAUGAAAUCUUCAAAGUAAAUCUUUUGUUAACUCAAUUGGUUUCUACUUUGGUAUUGGAGGUCUUUGCAGCUUCACACCUGCUCCUCUUUGUUCAUUAGCUGGAUCUCAGUGUUAUGCUUGGUUCCACUCGGCGUGAUAAGUUAUCUAUCGCUGAGGACACUGUAAAAGGUGGCCAAGGUAAAUGCAGAUGAACCGCUUCUAAUAGUCCAUUGACUUUGACAAUACUUUUAUGAUCUGAUCUCAAAUCAGGUAGGACUACCCGCUGAACUUAAGC
rnacentral:misc_RNA from 1 species